UACGGGGGGAGCAAGCGUUGUUCGGAUUUACUGGGCGUAAAGGGCGCGUAGGCGGUCGUGACAAGUCAUUUGUGAAAUCUCCGGGCUUAACUCGGAACGGUCAAGUGAUACUGUCGGACUAGAGUACAGAAGGGGCAACUGGAAUUCUCGGUGUAGCGGUGAAAUGCGUAGAUAUCGAGAGGAACACCUGCGGCGAAGGCGGGUUGCUGGGCUGAUACUGACGCUGAGGCGCGAAAGCCAGGGGAGCGAACGGG
rnacentral:rRNA from 1 species